GAUGAAGAACGCAGCGAAAUGCGAUAAGUAAUGUGAAUUGCAGAAUUCAGUGAAUCAUCGAAUCUUUGAACGCACCUUGCGCCUUUUGGUAUUCCGAAAGGCACACCUGUUUGAGCGUCAAGAAUACCUCAAUCUCCAUCUUUUCUUCGGAUUGAUGGGUGACUUGGAUGUUGAGCCCUGCUGGUAUGCUAUAUCAGCUGGCUUUAAACUUAUUAGCCGGCUCUGUACUGGAUCGGUUUGACUCGACGUGAUAAUAUUAUCGUUGAGGAUGCAUGUCUCAUGCAGCCGGAAAGUAUCAAAGCAGCUUCUAGCUUGCCUUUAGUGCACUUUUACAUUUUAGACCUCAGAUCAGGUGGGACUACCCGCUGAACUUAAGCAUAUCAAAAGCGGAGGA
rnacentral:misc_RNA from 1 species